rnacentral:tRNA from 1 species
GUGUUGGUGGUUCAGUGGUAGAAUUCUUGCCCUCCAUGCAAGAGAUCUGGGUUCGAUUCCCAGCUGAUGCC